rnacentral:lncRNA from 1 species
UUCAAUUCAAAGACUCCGCUGGACUCCAACUGCUGUAAUAAGCAUAAGUCCUCCUAACAUUAUCAUCAUAAUGGUCCACGUUAAUAUUAGACCUGUCUGUCCGAAGUCAUACAUAGCUUUUCUUGCUCUUACUACUGCACUUUUGCAAUCAUUACCGGCAGCUUUAACUGUUUAAUCAAGUGUUGGUGUUCAGUGUGUUGGUCUCAGUUCAUCUCUUUUUUCUCCAUCCUCCUCUAAUCUGGCAUGAUGAUGAUGAUGAUGGCAAUUGAGCAGUCUGGAUCUGCUUCAGGUUUCCGCACAUCAAAGGUCAAUAGAAUCCUUGCCGCCGUUAAUUACUUAAUGCAACCAAGAGUUAUACUGAUGGAUCAGUGUUGAAUCUCUGUGAAUAAGGUAAUAUAAAAAUGAUGGUCUCUACCUGCAGAGUUCCUUGAGAUAACAUUUGUUUUGAGUUGCUGCCGUAGGUUACAAAUACAAAUUGAUUGAUCGGUGCAUCUUGGCUUAAUUGGUUGCAGGUUUGCCAAGCUAGGAUGAAAAGGUGCGCCUAAAUCAAGCCAGGUGUAGAUAGUUGGAAUAAGUGCGCAUCCGCGUCAUACUUAAAGAGACUACCAGAUCGAUCACAGAACAGAUCACAGAUGGAAAAUUGAUCGUACUUGCCAGUCGUAUUUUCAGCAGUUAAGCAACAACUCCUUGUGGAGUUUUAGGAGGAAAAAAAGACGUGUUUAAAAAAAAAAAAAGGCAGCACAGCAGCGAUUAUUAAAGCACGGGAGAGAGCAUGGCAGACAAUUGCGGACCGGCUCAAUACGAAGUCUGAAAAAAAAAAACAGUACAAUGAAUAAACAGCGCUCAACUGAAACUCCUAAAAAUUACAAUUAAAGGACCAACAGAGUUAGUGACUUUUCAUUUGCACUAAUGAACAGUUGUACACUUUCUAUGUUGCAAGUAUAGAAUUGCAUGUUACUCGGGGAAAAAAGUGCAAAGAAUUAUUCACAUUGUGUGAGUGUGUUACCGGUUAUCUAUUUAUCCAAAAUGAAUUUUGUUUGUCUAUUUUAUCUGUCCAUCCUUCUCUAAGAACAAACUUCUCUGGACAGAAGAAGAACUGGCAGUAAGUAAAUACCAAUUGAAAGGAUAUUCUGCUGGCUGGUGAGUACCUUUAGUGUAGAUAAUAAACAAAUGAGGUGACUAGAUUAGGUGUCUGCUUACAUAUUGAUUAUCUGAUUGUAGCAGUUAAAAUAAAAGCCCACAAAACUGGCACGGGGUGGCCCACCAGCCCACCAAGCCAAGAUUUGUCACCAGCAGAGGAGCUAGCACUGGACUUCAAUAAAGGGAGGUCAGUGACAGAGAGGACCCAGGGAUGGAUGGCCACAGACUCUGGCCCUGCGACAUAAACUGGCUGCUUUGUACAAGGUAGGCUGCACAUAGAACACAAUUAAAUGAGUGUAUUAUACUGCUUGACUUUGGAUUUCUUUGCAGUGUUUGGGGACACACUAGUACUUUUGAAGCCACCAGAGGAUGAUCUGGUUAGUACAGUACCAUUUAUUGAAAUCAGCACUUUGGCCUGCUCUGUUAAAUCUCUAGAAGGCUUGAGGUAUCGUAAAUUUUGUGGAAAUAUCCUGCUUAUUUAGUCUAUAAUGGAAAUAAAGUCAGUGAACUGGUGCGAAUAAAAUGCAGAUUCAGCACAGCCUCAGAAACAGCCAGGUAACAUUGAAAGUUCUGGCUUAAGUAAAUCAAAUUACCAUCAAAUUAUGGCCAAACACUGCUGUUCUAAUUUACAUUUCUUUUUCAGAAUUAACAGUCAGAUCUCUCUAUGCCAAGCUUCUUCAGAGACAGAUUGAGUGGCAGAGGUCAAAAUUAAACUGCAAAAGAGGAAGUUGCGAAAGACUGAGUCAGAUUUGAAGAUUGGACCUGGACCUUGAAACUAAACUGGAGAGUGAAGUCAGCAAUUUAGUGCACACUAACAUAUCUGUAAUUUGCAAUACAGUGUAUUAAUCUUUAUCACUUACGAAUUCUAGGUUCCAAACAGAGAGAGCACUGCAAAUUAAAAGUAAUUGAACUAGAAAACAUUGUAGAGUCUUUUUUUUCCACGAAUGUGUGGUAUACUAUUGAUUUGGUUACAUUGAAUUCAGAGGAUAACCAUGCU